CCGACAGUUUUGUCACUGUGAAUGCGGGGAAAGUCCUAUUUCUAGUGAUGAUAAAAGUUCAGGACUAAUCUCAUCUGAUUCCUUACGGAGAGUGAAGAGGCGAAAGAGGAAGCGUUCUACAGAACCUGAGACUGAGUCGACUAGUACUACAACAGAGGAAAGGCCCUCUGUAGCCAUGUUGAGCCUGAUUUUGAACUCCCUUCAGAGUCUCCUCUAUCAUUAAAGAUGAAGCAGGACCAAGUGCAGUUGCUGAUGAAGCUAGCACCUCACAAAAUAAAGAACUGCUUGAUAGCGACCAUCAAUCAAUUAUUAAUAAAUCAGUGGAAAUAAUAAAAGACUAGACUAAUAAUGAUGACAUUUUUGCAGAUACUUAUGAAGAGGGUGCCAAUGAAGUAGACGAUUACUCUACACUUUUAAAAAAGAUAUUUUCGUUGGUUGACUGAGCACCUGUCAUUAAAUAGAACAGGAGGAGGAGAGAGAAGAGGAAGUACAAAUGUAAGAACCAUCAGCUAGGAGGAGACCAAUAAGACAACAUGUAAUGAUAGGUACAUACAGUGUCACAUCACAUCCAGGAAGGACUAUCAGUUAAUGUUAGAGUUAAAGUGAAAAUUGAGUAAAUGAAAAAGAAGGAAGAAAAAGGAGAGAGAUAUAUGAUAGCUACCAUGACUCGCUUCCACAGCUACAAACUUGUCAACAUCAUAACUACUGUACAUGUAUGUGUUCAAUAAUAUAAUUUUCUAUGUCAUACCAUACAUGCUAUACUCCAGUAGUACUACAGAAUACGGUCCAAUGAGGCCAUACUGUUCUAUAGUUCACUGGAAAUUAAUAAUUAUUUUGUGUUAUUAUGCAACUAAAAUUAAUUUAUCUGUUCAGCACAUCUAACAUUCAUCACAUUCCAGUAGUUACUCACACUUAUGCUUGUACCUACUCCCUUUUAUGGUCAAUUGAUAAUUGAUCUAUUAUA